rnacentral:rRNA from 1 species
GACGAACGCUGGCGGCGUGCUUAACACAUGCAAGUCGAACGGAAAGGCCCUGCUUUUGUGGGGUGCUCGAGUGGCGAACGGGUGAGUAACACGUGAGUAACCUGCCCUUGACUUUGGGAUAACUUCAGGAAACUGGGGCUAAUACCGGAUAGGAGCUCCUGCUGCAUGGUGGGGGUUGGAAAGUUUCGGCGGUUGGGGAUGGACUCGCGGCUUAUCCGCUUGUUGGUGGGGUAGUGGCUUACCAAGGCUUUGACGGGUAGCCGGCCUGAGAGGGUGAACGGCCACCAUGGGACUGAGAUACGGCCCAGACGCCUACGGGAGGCAGCAGUGGGGAAUAUUGCACAGUGGGCGGAAGCGUGAGGCAGAAACGCCGCGUGCGUGAUGACGGCCUUCGGGUUGUAAACCGCUUUGGCCUGUGACGAAGCGUGAGUGACGGUAAUGGGUAAAGAAGCACCGGCUAACUACGUG